GGUUCUCUGAAAUCACAGGUCAGGGUGGGUUGGGUUCACAGAGACAUUGGGUUGGGGCGGGUUGGUUCCCGUGCUCCCAUCCCAUCUCACGAGCACCGCCGCCGCCAGCUUGCUGCCGUCGUCGCCGGACCUCCGCUCCAGGCUCUAGCGUCUUCUCCUCCAACGCCGGUAGCAGAUCCAGUAGAUCGACUGCCCACCUCUGCGACCGCAACUAGCCGGAGGCGGCAGACAAGGGAGAUUCGAAGAGGAGUCCCAAUGCCCCAAGCUGUACCCGUUCGUUGAAGGGAGUGGAGAGCAGGGGAGACGCGAGGGGGGAUCUGCCCAAUCGAUAGAGGACACCAACAUCUGCAGACACCAGUGACCACACCAACACCAGUCCCACCCACCCCCUGAAACCCCACCGCAAUCACCUCCAUCUGCAGACAUUUCCAGCUGCUGACAUUCUGGCAGCUACCAGGGACUUCAAUGAAGAAUGCCUAAUCGGUGAAGGUUUCACUAGCCGAGUUUACAGAGGUGAUUUUUCUGAUGGUCAGGUAUGGUACUUUGAUCAUAAACAUACAAUUAUUGUUGUCUUCUGUAGUAACGCUAUUGUUUGGUACUUAAUCUAGACGAAGCUCUUAUGUCAUGAAUCAAGUCUGAUUUCUACAACAUGCAUCUCAGAGACCCAAGCCCCGAAUAGCUGAAGUGUACCAUCAGUUCUUCUUAACUAUAAUCUACUGGUAUUUUCACCCAUAAAAAAUCCAUAAAUUAAUCUUCUUUUCCUUCUGUGUUAGCAUGAAAGCUUGUUUUUUCUGUGUUUGAGUGCUGUAGGCUCUUUAUGAUAUCUUUUUCUGGGAAUUCCUAUUUACUGUUUGCAUGAAUAACGAGCCCCUGUUUACUGUCCUGCUGUGUUGGAUGGUGGACAUUAGGAUUAAGCGGUUGGCAGCGGUGUACCCCCUCUGCGGCUCUGCCCACAGAAAGGUUACAAUGAUAGGUGUUGCUGUGAGGGGAGGAAGCACACGUUUUUCUUUUUCUUGAUGUCUUGAAUCUUGAUAAGAUUUACAUUUUGAGCUGCGGAUGUGGUUAGUUCUGCAGAGCUGAGGUGUCCUUCCACAUGCGAGCUCUCAUAAAAUCGACAACCAACCAACCAUCAUCUCCGAUUCUCCUUGAGUAUCCAAAAAAAAACAAUCAUCAUGUGCUUCAAUGCCGUGCAGUCUGCGCGUCCACGUGGCUCGCUCACUAAUGAGGUAGUAGUAGACUCUGAAGAAUCAGGACCCUUCUGAAAAACGAUUUCAGAUUUUUGGUUUGAGACCACUGAGGUCAUAACAGAUUCAUCAUCUAAAUGGGUAGGUGUACUGUUUGCAUUGUGAGUUGUGGCUGACUGCAUGCAGCAUGUGCUACCUGCAACUGCAAGUAAUUUCCUGAUGAAGAGGCAGGUAAUAAGCAGGCAUGUACUUGUCCCAGAAAUAAAUAAUCUUUCUUCCAUGUAAUUUCAGUGUACAAUGUUCCAUCAUAUAAUUUCAGUACGCAUUCUAUUAAGGUUUAGAACACUCGUAGUAAAAUCGUAAUAGUCAACAGAAAAAAACAACUGAGUAACCUGCAUUCUUCUGUAGUUCUAUGAAAUUAUACCCCAAGCAUAAGCUUCUAUAAGCAUUUAACUGAUUGCCCCACAAAUGACUUCUAUAGUUCUGAAACUAUGUCCCAUGCAUAUGCUCUGACAAGCAUGAACUAUGUCCCAUGCAUAUGUACAGUUACUCUAACAAUCAACCAAUCAUGGUUUGCAUUCUAUACUUUAUUGUUGCCCUGUCAAAUGUCCCUUUUGACAUGCUUUUGUUCUGAACUUACAAUUUUUUGGCAUGCCAACUCUCAUGUUUCUUCAUUUUGGUUAGAGGUCACUUCAAAUUUCAAGUACUCUUCUUUCAGUGAUGAUUCUGUCUGCAAAAUGGAUGAUGCUUUGGUUAUAUUUUGUUGCAGGAUUGAAUCUUUGGAGAUGAGUUGCGGAGCCCAUUAGAUAUCAUACAUCUUGUGCUUUCCAUUUGAUAAAAGAUAAAAGAUUGUAGCUUUCCUUUCCUAUUAGAACAGAAGGGCCAUGUACUGUGAUUAUUUGUGUUUGUAUGUGUCUGAAUGUUGAUGAUUUAAAUCGAUUGAUCAAGUUUCUGUAAACUGUGAAAAUUUCAUGGAAAUAUACUGGCAUAUUUCAAGUCA